GAAACGACUGCUAAGACUGGAUAGGAAAUUAAGAGGCAUCUUUUAAUUUUUAAAAGACCUUUUUCGAAAGGUAUACUUAAAGAGGGGCUUGCGCCACAUUAGUUAGUUGGUAAGGUAAAGGCUUACCAAGACGAUGAUGUGUAGCUGGACUGAGAGGCCGAACAGCCACAUUGGGACUGAGACACGGCCCAAACUCCUACGGGAGGCAGCAGUAAGGAAUUUUUGGCAAUGGAGGAAACUCUGACCGAGCGACGUCGCGUGAACAAUGAAGUACUUCGGUAUGUAAAGUUCUUUUAUUGAAAAAGAAAAAAUAGUGGAAAAACUAUCUUGACAUUAUUCAAUGAAUAAGCCCCGGCUAAUUAUGUGCCAGCAGCCGCGGUAAUACAUAAGGGGCGAGCGUUAUCCGGAAUUAUUGGGCGUAAAGGGUGCGUAGGCGGUUUGAUAAGUCUAUAGUUUAAAUGCAGUGCUUAACGCUGUAGCGCUAUAGAAACUGUCUGACUAGAGUUAGAUAGAGGCAAGCGGAGUUCCAUGUGUAGCGGUAAAAUGCGUAAAUAUAUGGAGGAACACCAGAGGCGUAGGCGGCUUGCUGGGUCUUAACUGACGCUGAGGCACGAAAGCGUGGGGAGCAAACAGGAUUAGAUACCCUGGUAGUCCACGCCGUAAACGAUGAGUACUAAGUGUCGGGUUUCGGCUCGGUACUGAAGUUAACACAUUAAGUACUCCGCCUGAGUAGUACGUACGCAAGUAUGAAACUUAAAGGAAUUGACGGGACCCCGCACAAGCGGUGGAUCAUGUUGUUUAAUUCGAAGAUACACGAAAAACCUUACCAGGUCUUGACAUAAUUUUGCGACAUUAUAGAAAUAUAAUGAAGGUUAUCAGAAUUACAGGUGGUGCAUGGUUGUCGUCAGCUCGUGUCGUGAGAUGUUAGGUUAAGUCCUAAAACGAGCGCAACCCUUGUCGUUAGUUGCGACCACGUAAUGGUGAGCACUUUAGCGAGACUGCCAAUGAAAAAUUGGAGGAAGGUGAGGAUUACGUCAAAUCAUCAUGCCCCUUAUGAUCUGGGCUACAAACGUGAUACAAUGGCUGUUACAAAGAGUAGCUACAACGUGAGUUUUUAGCCAAUCUCAAAAAAACAGUCUCAGUUCGGAUUGAAGUCUGCAACUCGACUUCAUGAAGUUGGAAUCGCUAGUAAUCGCGAAUCAGCAUGUCGCGGUGAAUACGUUCUCGGGUUUGUACACACCGCCCGUCA
rnacentral:rRNA from 1 species